rnacentral:rRNA from 1 species
UACGGAGGGUGCAAGCGUUAUCCGGAUUCACUGGGUUUAAAGGGUGCGUAGGUGGGUUCGUAAGUCAGUGGUGAAAUCUCCGAGCUUAACUUGGAAACUGCCAUUGAUACUAUGAGUCUUGAAUAUUGUGGAGGUCAGCGGAAUAUGUCAUGUAGCGGUGAAAUGCUUAGAUAUGACAUAGAACACCAAUUGCGAAGGCAGCUGGCUACGCAUAUAUUGACGCUGAGGCACGAAAGCGUGGGGAUCAAACAGG